rnacentral:rRNA from 1 species
AGGGUGAGACCUGAUGCCGAGCCGAUUGUGGUGAAGUGGAUGAUCCUAUGCUGUCGAGAAAAGCCUCUAGCGAGUUUCAAGGCGGCCCGUACCCUAAACCGACUCAGGUGGUCAGGUAGAGAAUACCGAGGCGUUCGGGUGAACUAUGGUUAAGGAACUCGGCAAAAUGCCCCCGUAACUUCGGGAGAAGGGGGGCCAUUCCUGGUGAUCGUCUUUACGAUGUGAGCUGGGGGUGGCCGCAGAGACCAGCGAGAAGCGACUGUUUACUAAAAACACAGGUCCGUGCGAAGCCGUAAGGCGAUGUAUACGGACUGACGCCUGCCCGGUGCUGGAACGUUAAGGGGACCGGUUAGUGACCUUUCGGGGUUGCGAAGCUGAGAACUUAAGCGCCAGUAAACGGCGGUGGUAACUAUAACCAUCCUAAGGUAGCGAAAUUCCUUGUCGGGUAAGUUCCGACCUGCACGAAUGGCGUAACGACUUCUCGACUGUCUCAACCAUAGGCCCGGUGAAAUUGCACUACGAGUAAAGAUGCUCGUUUCGCGCAGCAGGACGGAAAGACCCCGGGACCUUUACUACAGUUUGAUAUUGGUGUUCGGUUCGGCUUGUGUAGGAUAGGUGGGAGACUUUGAAGCGGCCACGCCAGUGGUUGUGGAGUCGUUGUUGAAAUACCACUCUGGUCGUGCUGGAUGUCUAACCUGGGUCCGUGAUCCGGAUCAGGGACAGUGUCUGAUGGGUAGUUUAACUGGGGCGGUUGCCUCCUAAAGAGUAACGGAGGCGCCCAAAGGUUCCCUCAGCCUGGUUGGUAAUCAGGUGUUGAGUGUAAGUGCACAAGGGAGCUUGACUGUGAGACCGACGGGUCGAGCAGGGACGAAAGUCGGGACUAGUGAUCCGGCGGUGGCUUGUGGAAGCGCCGUCGCUCAACGGAUAAAAGGUACCCCGGGGAUAACAGGCUGAUCUUCCCCAAGAGUCCAUAUCGACGGGAUGGUUUGGCACCUCGAUGUCGGCUCGUCGCAUCCUGGGGCUGGAGUCGGUCCCAAGGGUUGGGCUGUUCGCCCAUUAAAGCGGUACGCGAGCUGGGUUUAGAACGUCGUGAGACAGUUCGGUCCCUAUCCGCUGUGCGCGUAGGAGUCUUGAGAAGGGCUGUCCCUAGUACGAGAGGACCGGGACGGACGAACCUCUGGUGUGCCAGUUGUCCUGCCAAGGGCAUGGCUGGUUGGCUACGUUCGGAAAGGAUAACCGCUGAAAGCAUCUAAGCGGGAAGCCUGCUUCGAGAUGAGGACUCCCACCCCCUUUGAGGGGUUAAGGCUCCCAGUAGACGACUGGGUUGAUAGGCCGGAUCUGGAAGCCAGGUAACUGGUGGAGGUGACCGGUACUAAUAGGCCGAGGGCUUGUCCAU